rnacentral:rRNA from 1 species
CCUGAUUGAUUCUGUCAGCGGUAUAUGCUCAAGUAAAAGAUUAAGCCAUGCAUGCUCGCACAACUCGAUUAUGAGUGAAGCUGCGCACGGCUCAUUAGCACGGUUUCGACCUUUUUCGGAUUCUCAAUGGGAUAACUGCGGAAAUACUGGAGCUAAUACCUGCACUUAAAAACCCGACGUAAGUAGGGUUGCAAUUAUUAGGCCAAACCAAUCGUCCUCGUGACGUAUUGUGGCGACUCCAAAUAGCCCAGUCUAUCGUCGGUUCAAUCCGACGAAGGCCGAAAAGGGUUUCUGCCCUAUCAACUAGACGGUAGCCCAGUAGACUACCGUGGUUGUCACGGGUACCGGAGAAUUGGGGUUUGACUCCGGAGAGGGAGCCUUAGAAACGGCUACCACAUCCAAGGAAGGCAGCAGGCGCGAAACUUAUCCACUGUCAAAAAUGAGAUAGUGACUAAAAAUAUAAAAUCCCUCCCUCAUGGGAGGGAUAUUUAAAUGAGUAGAGGUUAAAAAGCUCUUCGAGAAACUAAGAGAGGGCAAGUCUGGUGCCAGCAGCCGCGGUAAUUCCAGCUCUCUAAGUGUAAAUCGUUAUUGUUGCGGUUAAAAAGCUCGUAGUUGGAUUUAUGGUGGAUAGUGUGCGUUCGCUCAUUCGGGCGUCAAUGCACACGCCAUCAUUUCGGCAGUCUGCGUCUAUGUGCGAAAGUGCAUACGUGACUGUCAAGUUUACCUUAAAUAAAUUAAAAUGCUCAAAAUAAGCGUAUGCUUGAAUAUCAUAUUAUGGAAUAAUGAAAUAGGACUUCGGUUCUUUUUGUUGGUUAUUGAAUCGGAGUAAUGAUUAAUAGGGAUAAUCUCGGGGGCAUUCGUAUUUCUGCGGGAGAGGUGAAAUUCUAUGAUCGCAGAAGGACGCCCUAAAGCGAAAGCAUUUGCCAAGAAUGUCUUCGUUAAUCAAGAACGAAAGUCAGAGGAUCGAAGGCGAUUAGAUACCGCCCUAGUUCUGACCGUAAACGAUACCAUCUAGCGAUCCGAUAGGGUCUAUCUAGCCUUGUCGGGGAGCUUCCCGGAAACGAAAGUCUUUCGGUUCCGGGGGUAGUAUGGUUGCAAAGCUGAAACUUAAAGAAAUUGACGGAAGGGCACCACCAGGAGUGGAGCUUGCGGCUUAAUUUGACUCAACACGGGAAAACUCACCCGGUCCGGACACCGUAAGGAUUGACAGACUGAUAGCUCUUUCUUGAUUCGGUGGUUGGUGGUGCAUGGCCGUUCUUAGUUGGUGGAGUAAUUUGUCUGGUUUAUUCCGAUAACGAGCGAGACUCUAGCCUGCUAAAUAGAACGAGGAUAAACCUUUUCAUAGGUCCUCGAUGCUUCUUAGAGGAAUUAGCGGUGCUUAGCCGCACGAGAUUGAGCGAUAACAGGUCUGUGAUGCCCUUAGAUGUCCGGGGCUGCACGCGUGCUACACUGGAAGACUCAACGUGCUCUCCAUCGCCGAAAGGUGUUGGCAAACCGUUGAAACUCUUCCGUGACUGGGAUAGGGAAUUGUAAUUAUUUCCCUUGAACGAGGAAUUCCUAGUAAGUGUGAGUCAUCAGCUCGCGCUGAUUACGUCCCUGCCCUUUGUACACACCGCCCGUCGCUAUCCGGGACUGAGCUGUUUCGAGCAGAGUGGGGACCGACUGUAUGGGGCUUAACGGCUAUGUGCAGAUGGAAACCACUUUAAUCGCAAUGGCUUGAACCGGGUAAAAGUCGUAACAAGGUACGAGUAGGUGAACCUGCUCGUG